rnacentral:rRNA from 1 species
UACGGGGGGGGCAAGCGUUGUUCGGCAUUACUGGGCGUAAAGGGCUCGUAGGUGGCCAACUAAGUCAGACGUGAAAUCCCUCGGCUUAACCGGGGAACUGCGUCUGAUACUGGAUGGCUUGAGUUCGGGAGAGGGAUGCGGAAUUCCAGGUGUAGCGGUGAAAUGCGUAGAUAUCGGAAGGAACACCGGUGGCGAAAGCGGCGCGCUGGAUCUCUUCUGACGCUGAGGCGCGAAAGCCAGGGGAGCGAACGGG